rnacentral:tRNA from 1 species
UCCUCAGUAGCUCAGCCGGUAGAGCAGCUGACUGUUAAUCAGCGGGUCGCAAGUUCGAGUCUUGCCUGAGGAGCCA